rnacentral:tRNA from 1 species
UUGGACUUAAACCCCAAGAAUAAAGUUUAAACUUUUUUUAAAA